GAGCGAUCAAGUGCCUUAAGAGCAUUCGGUGGAUGCCUUGGCGCUGAGAGGCGAUGAAGGACGUGGUACGCUGCGAUAAGCCUUGGGGAGCUGCGAACGAGCUUUGAUCCAGGGAUUUCCGAAUGGGGAAACCCACCUUCGACCUUCCGUAUUGUGUGGUCAUACGCGGCUUGGGAGCGAUCCUGGGCGGCGAUAUGGUCAUUCAAUACGGUUGGUCAGAUGAAGGUAUCAAAUCCUGAAUCCAUAGGGGUUUGAAGCGAACCCGGGGAACUGAAACAUCUCAGUACCCGGAGGAAAGGACAUCAACGAGACUCCGUUAGUAGUGGCGAGCGAACGCGGACCAGGCCAGUGCCUGUUG
rnacentral:rRNA from 1 species